rnacentral:ncRNA from 14 species
GCCUUGAUGGUGAAAUGGUAGACACGCGAGAUUCAAAAUUUCGUGCUUAAAGCAUGGAGGUUCGAGUCCUCUUCAAGGCA